rnacentral:ribozyme from 1 species
CGAACCAAAGAAAUACGAAAAAAAAAGGCAAGAAGCAAGGGCCCAGUAGUCAGCAUGCCGCUAAAUACGCACGGCGUUAUCCAGUGUUUUUUCAUUUUUUUAAUAUCUCUUGUUUGUAGAUAAC